rnacentral:rRNA from 1 species
GAAUGCUGACAUAAGUAACGAUAAAGCGGGUGAAAAGCCCGCUCGCCGGAAGACCAAGGGUUCCUGUCCAACGUUAAUCGGGGCAGGGUGAGUCGACCCCUAAGGCGAGGCCGAAAGGCGUAGUCGAUGGGAAACAGGUUAAUAUUCCUGUACUUGGUGUUACUGCGAAGGGGGGACGGAGAAGGCUAUGUUGGCCGGGCGACGGUUGUCCCGGUUUAAGCGUGUAGGCUGGUUUUCCAGGCAAAUCCGGAAAAUCAAGGCUGAGGCGUGAUGACGAGGCACUACGGUGCUGAAGCGACAAAUGCCCUGCUUCCAGGAAAAGCCUCUAAGCAUCAGGUAACAUUAAAUCGUACCCCAAACCGACACAGGUGGUCAGGUAGAGAAUACCAAGGCGCUUGAGAGAACUCGGGUGAAGGAACUAGGCAAAAUGGUGCCGUAACUUCGGGAGAAGGCACGCUGAUAUGUAGGUGAAGCGACUUGCUCGUGGAGCUGAAAUCAGUCGAAGAUACCAGCUGGCUGCAACUGUUUAUUAAAAACACAGCACUGUGCAAACACGAAAGUGGACGUAUACGGUGUGACGCCUGCCCGGUGCCGGAAGGUUAAUUGAUGGGGUUAGCGGUAACGCGAAGCUCUUGAUCGAAGCCCCGGUAAACGGCGGCCGUAACUAUAACGGUCCUAAGGUAGCGAAAUUCCUUGUCGGGUAAGUUCCGACCUGCACGAAUGGCGUAAUGAUGGCCAGGCUGUCUCCACCCGAGACUCAGUGAAAUUGAACUCGCUGUGAAGAUGCAGUGUACCCGCGGCAAGACGGAAAGACCCCGUGAACCUUUACUAUAGCUUGACACUGAACAUUGAGCCUUGAUGUGUAGGAUAGGUGGGAGGCUUUGAAGUGUGGACGCCAGUCUGCAUGGAGCCGACCUUGAAAUACCACCCUUUAAUGUUUGAUGUUCUAACGUGGGCCCCUUACCGGGGUUGCGGACAGUGUCUGGUGGGUAGUUUGACUGGGGCGGUCUCCUCCUAAAGAGUAACGGAGGAGCACGAAGGUUGGCUAAUCCUGGUCGGACAUCAGGAGGUUAGUGCAAUGGCAUAAGCCAGCUUGACUGCGAGCGUGACGGCGCGAGCAGGUGCGAAAGCAGGUCAUAGUGAUCCGGUGGUUCUGAAUGGAAGGGCCAUCGCUCAACGGAUAAAAGGUACUCCGGGGAUAACAGGCUGAUACCGCCCAAGAGUUCAUAUCGACGGCGGUGUUUGGCACCUCGAUGUCGGCUCAUCACAUCCUGGGGCUGAAGUAGGUCCCAAGGGUAUGGCUGUUCGCCAUUUAAAGUGGUACGCGAGCUGGGUUUAGAACGUCGUGAGACAGUUCGGUCCCUAUCUGCCGUGGGCGCUGGAGAACUGAGGGGGGCUGCUCCUAGUACGAGAGGACCGGAGUGGACGCAUCACUGGUGUUCGGGUUGUCAUGCCAAUGGCACUGCCCGGUAGCUAAAUGCGGAAGAGAUAAGUGCUGAAAGCAUCUAAGCACGAAACUUGCCCCGAGAUGAGUUCUCCCUGACUCCUUGAGAGUCCUGAAGGAACGUUGAAGACGACGACGUUGAUAGGCCGGGUGUGUAAGCGCAGCGAUGCGUUGAGCUAACCGGUACUAAUGAACCGUGAG